UACGAAGGGGGCUAGCGUUGCUCGGAAUGACUGGGCGUAAAGGGCGCGUAGGCGGUUUGGACAGUCGGAUGUGAAAUUCCUGGGCUCAACCUGGGGGCUGCAUCCGAGACGUUUGGACUGGAGUGGGGAAGAGGGCGUGGAAUUCCCAGUGUAGAGGUGAAAUUCGUAGAUAUUCGGAAGAACACCAGUGGCGAAGGCGACUCACUGGCCCCGGUAUACGUGACGCUGAGGCGCGAAAGCGUGGGGAGCAAACAGG
rnacentral:rRNA from 1 species